AGAGUUUGAUCCUGGCUCAGGAUGAACGCUGGCGGCGUGCUUAACACAUGCAAGUCGAACGGUGAAGCCCAGCUUGCUGGGUGGAUCAGUGGCGAACGGGUGAGUAACACGUGAGCAACCUGCCCCUGACUCUGGGAUAAGCGCUGGAAACGGCGUCUAAUACUGGAUAUGUGACGUGACCGCAUGGUCUGCGUCUGGAAAGAAUUUCGGUUGGGGAUGGGCUCGCGGCCUAUCAGCUUGUUGGUGAGGUAAUGGCUCACCAAGGCGUCGACGGGUAGCCGGCCUGAGAGGGUGACCGGCCACACUGGGACUGAGACACGGCCCAGACUCCUACGGGAGGCAGCAGUGGGGAAUAUUGCACAAUGGGCGCAAGCCUGAUGCAGCAACGCCGCGUGAGGGAUGACGGCCUUCGGGUUGUAAACCUCUUUUAGCAGGGAAGAAGCGAAAGUGACGGUACCUGCAGAAAAAGCGCCGGCUAACUACGUGCCAGCAGCCGCGGUAAUACGUAGGGCGCAAGCGUUAUCCGGAAUUAUUGGGCGUAAAGAGCUCGUAGGCGGUUUGUCGCGUCUGCUGUGAAAUCCCGAGGCUCAACCUCGGGCCUGCAGUGGGUACGGGCAGACUAGAGUGCGGUAGGGGAGAUUGGAAUUCCUGGUGUAGCGGUGGAAUGCGCAGAUAUCAGGAGGAACACCGAUGGCGAAGGCAGAUCUCUGGGCCGUAACUGACGCUGAGGAGCGAAAGGGUGGGGAGCAAACAGGCUUAGAUACCCUGGUAGUCCACCCCGUAAACGUUGGGAACUAGUUGUGGGGUUCAUUCCACGGAUUCCGUGACGCAGCUAACGCAUUAAGUUCCCCGCCUGGGGAGUACGGCCGCAAGGCUAAAACUCAAAGGAAUUGACGGGGACCCGCACAAGCGGCGGAGCAUGCGGAUUAAUUCGAUGCAACGCGAAGAACCUUACCAAGGCUUGACAUAUACGAGAACGGGCCAGAAAUGGUCAACUCUUUGGACACUCGUAAACAGGUGGUGCAUGGUUGUCGUCAGCUCGUGUCGUGAGAUGUUGGGUUAAGUCCCGCAACGAGCGCAACCCUCGUUCUAUGUUGCCAGCACGUAAUGGUGGGAACUCAUGGGAUACUGCCGGGGUCAACUCGGAGGAAGGUGGGGAUGACGUCAAAUCAUCAUGCCCCUUAUGUCUUGGGCUUCACGCAUGCUACAAUGGCCGGUACAAAGGGCUGCAAUACCGUGAGGUGGAGCGAAUCCCAAAAAGCCGGUCCCAGUUCGGAUUGAGGUCUGCAACUCGACCUCAUGAAGUCGGAGUCGCUAGUAAUCGCAGAUCAGCAACGCUGCGGUGAAUACGUUCCCGGGUCUUGUACACACCGCCCGUCAAGUCAUGAAAGUCGGUAACACCUGAAGCCGGUGGCCUGACCUUUUUGGAGGGAGCCGUCGAAGGUGGGAUUGGUAAUUAGGACUAAGUCGUAACAAGGUAACCGUAA
rnacentral:rRNA from 1 species